rnacentral:piRNA from 1 species
UACUCUCCACACCACGAAGUU